UUGGGUCACGUGCUUUUGCUGUUCAACAUGGAGGCACUUAGCAUGAGCUGAGGGUGGGGUUUCCAGCCCUUUGACACCUAAAGGCCAUUCUUCUGGACAGCUGCACAGGCCCAGCCUCAGGGUCCCAGCCAAUCCCCGGGCAGCCUGCCCUGGGAGGAGCUGACUCCAAGUUCCUACCAAACAACUGGGUCGUGUGAAGAUUCACUGCAUGGGAGCAUGGAGACUGAGCAGAAAGUGGUAACCUAGAACUUGCAACAGUCUUCUCUCUCAUUGCGCUGUGGAGAAAGUAAUUGGAGUUCAGAGCCUUUCAGGGCAAUCAGGACUUGAAAGCUCAAGAUCCCAGGAAAAAAGGGAACCUACAGAAAAGAAAGUCCACCCUUCUUUAGAUAUCCUGCCCUCAGUGCAUUUACUGACCCCUUAACCAGCGAAAGCAUGGUGAGAGGCUCUGAGAAACCAUGCAGAAAACAGCUUUUUAAAGGCUAAUUCUUUAAGCAAAGAACACAGUGAUUUGAUGGUUCCAGGAAGAUGGAAUUUUGAGCUCACCAGGGAGCGAUGGCCCAGGUCCAAAAGGAAUGAGAG
ensembl:lncRNA